AGAAAGAUAACAUCUUUCUUAUCUUCUUUCUUUUCAUGUCAAACAAAGAGGGGAAAGAAAAAAAUUCUUCCAUCUUUUUCCUUCAAAUUCAAGUUUAAGCUAAAAACGAAGCGAACAUCUUGAAGGAGAAAGGCGAAGAAAAGGAGCAGAGCAAUUAAAAUUUUGGUAGUUAGAUUCGUUAGAUCGUUUCAGCAACAUUCGAAGAACCGAAGCUCAGUUUAAAUAAUGUUAGUGAAGAGUUUACUUUAUAGUUGAUGUAAAUGGCAUGUACCUAGACUUAUAAAUAUAUAAUAUUAUGUCGUAAACUGAAUUUAAAUAUUUUC